AUUGAACGCUGGCGGCACGCUUAACACAUGCAAGUCGAACGGCAGCAGCACUAGGGUAACCUAGUGGCUGGCGAGUGGCGGACGGGUGAGUAAAACGUAGGAACCUACCUUAGAGAGGGGGAUAACUCGGGGAAACUCGAGCUAAGACCGCAUAGUUUCUGUGGGAAACCACAAGAGGAAAGGCGCCUUUUUCGGAGGUGUUGCUCUAAGAUGGGCCUACGACGGAUUAGCUAGUUGGUGGGAAAGGCCUACCAAGGCGAUGAUCUGUAGCUGUUCUGAGAGGAAGGUCAGCCACACUGGGACUGAGACACGG
rnacentral:rRNA from 1 species